AUUAAUCUACGGCUUACUUUUACUCCACCCAUGAGUUACUGUUCCAGUAAAUAUCUCUUAGCUUUCUUGUUCCUCCGGCCUUUUCCAUGGCGCGAUCUCUGGUCCUUCUCCUAAAUCCAGCCUCCCUGUUCCAGCCAUCGCUCGCCUCAUCUGCUCCCUCCGCUCGGAGGCUGAGCGGACAGUGAAGGAGGUGGCGACGGCGGCGGCCACGGCGGUAGCAACGAGGAGGCCGGCGCCCAGCGGCGGAGCUCCUCGGCCGCCUCCCAGACCCGGCUCGCACAGUCCUAUCCAUGAUGGUUGAUUCCCAUGGAGCUCGAUCUAGCGCAGCCUCUCCACCAUGAUUUCCCCGGUCAACGGACGCCCCCCUUCCCCUCCGUCACCGCAUCCUCCACCUCACCUCCUCCCUCUCGCGGCCUCCGCCGCUGCCGCUGUAGCACGCGGAGCCGACGACAGCGCCGCGGCUGUCUCCAAGGGCUGGAGCCUCCAGCGUCGCCGUCCAUGGUCUGCUCGGUGCUGUAGCAUGCGGAGCCGACGAGAGCCACACGGCCGUUCCCGAGAAUCGCGGCCUCCGCCGCUCAUGCUCCACUUGGCGCUGUAGCACGCAGAACCGACCACACCCCCGCUGCCGGCGGCGUCCUUGCGGGUAGCGGCCUCCGCCACUGCCGCUCACGGUAUGCUCGGCAAUAAUGGCGCAUGAGAGUGGUUGCUGUGCGUGGCGAAUGGUGGCGGCGCGGUAGUGGGCAACACUGGCAAGCGACUUCCUUCCAAGCUGCAAUGGUCCAGGAAGACUACCUUCCUCGCGAGCGGCCUCAACCUCGCAGGUACCUGCUUGCUCCAAAUCCAAGAAUCUCACACAUCGGUGGCCAGGUUUGCAACAAGAGCGGCACUGCAUGAGUUCUGGAUUUUUUGAAGGUAGAAGCUCUGAAUUAGUAUUGAAGAAGAAGAUGCAAGCACAGCUAGACCCAAUUGACAACAAGCAGGUUGAAUAGGAUGGCUAGGAGGUAGCGGCAUCUAUAUUUCACAGAGGUGCACCAUCAUCACAUAUUCACAUAUUUCCUGUUUAUACUUCUGAAGAUCCAGCCUCGAGCUUAAGACCAUAGUUCUAUACUACUUCUACAAAUUCUUUGCUUCCGAAUACUCUAGACGUCAUUAUUAAUCGUAAGUCUGUGAUUAGUUCGCGAAAAAGUUUGGGUUUUGGUAUUGUAGCACGUUUCAUUGUUAUUUAACAAUUAAUUUCCAAUCAUGGACUAAUUAGGCUUAAAAGAUUCAUCUCGAGUAAAACAGUUAUAUUGUGUAAUUAGUUAUUUUUCCAACCGCAUUUAAUGCUCCACGAAUGUAUUCGAAGAUUCGAUAUGCCGGAUACUAUAUGAAAUUUUUUAGGAACUAAACAUGGCCAAGAUUAUUUUCCUUGGCUGCAGAGGCAAAUGCAAGUGAUGACCGUCAAAAAAUAAGAUGUCCUAUCAUCUUCAGACGAAGAUAUAGAAUAUAAAAGAGUUAAACGGUCACUACCCUGCCUUUUCUUGAAAGACAAAAUUAUUGGCAUAGAUUACCUCUAUUAUCAGGAUCAUUAUAACAGCUGGCCAUGUAUCAUACAUGCCUCCGUUUCUUAAACAAUAUUUUAAGGAUCACUAACUUCUAGUUUAUUUUGAGAAGAUACUCUUCUAAACCGAGCUAUGCUCUAAAUAUAAUUUCAGAACAGUCAUUUUUGUUUCAAUGAUCCACUUCACGGCAACCAGGGCCAUGUGUGAUUCAUAUGUGUAAUGCAUUUGCUUUCCUGUGCAUUUAUCACAAGGUACUAUGCAUUUAGGUUCAAGUCGAGUUAUAGUGACAUUACACUCAGCUUUCCCAGUAGUUAAAUGGACUCCAUCAAUAUUAAGGGUCUGCAACUAAAUUGCUUUUAUGUAAGCCAAGUCUAAGACUAGAGCAUUUCUGGUUUGGCAAGCUACUAUUACUUCCUGUUCAGUUUUCCUUUUAGCAACAAAGAUUGAGUUAACCGUGACAUUAUUCCUCUUUUAUUUAAUGAAUGUGAGUAAUUUUAGUUAGUAUUGUUAAUUGGGAUCUGGAAUUUGUCCACCAAAUUUUGUUGAGUGUGCUUGCACCUUCUCCAUGUGAUAAUUCAGCAGGUUUGUGUUGAAUUAAAAUUCCAUGCAGACGACAACCUUUACACCUGAGCUGCAUGUAGAUCUGCCUUGGUAUCCUUUGUAAAUGGUUAGCAUUUUGCUAGCUUAACAAAAUGACUGAACUGGCUGUUUAAGAUAAAGUAUCAUCGAACUAUUGUAAUCCUCUCUGUAUGGACCAUUUAGUUGUUUUGCCUAUCUUUUGACAAUUAUAGCUCUACUACAAAUUUAUUCAUACAGUUACUGUGCUUUCUAAAACAAAAACAGAGGUCACAUUUGGCUUGGGACUACCCCGGGUCUGACAAAAAAUGAUGUCAAUAAUUUAACUCUUUGACGAUUUCAAAUACUUCUUGCGCUCCCCAAACUACUUACAGUGUCAUAUCUCUGUACUCCUUAACAUUUGUGUUACAUUUUUCUACUUGAGUGCGAGUCCUCUUUAAUACUUAGGCUACAUAUGCUAUCUGGGCUAUUUUGCACGAACUGACCCGGUACGAUCUUAUUAGGUUACACCUAGGAAAAAAUAGAAAUUUAUAAAACUUUAACUCUGACCUUCCUUUAUCCAUUUUCCUAUCAGAUCUUAUAAAAUUUACAUACUAUUUUUAAUUUCUCUGCACUUCAAAACAUCUACUACUACCAUAAUAAUUACCAGUAAGAUUACAAAGGAAUUAUGCGCGCGCAACGCGCGCGCAAUCCACUAGUA